rnacentral:rRNA from 1 species
CUACGGGCGGCUGCAGUGAGGAAUAUUGCGCAAUGGACGAAAGUCUGACGCAGCCAUGCCGCGUGAAGGAUGAAUGCCCUAUGGGUUGUAAACUUCUUUUGUACGGGAAUAAACCCUACCUCGUGAGGUAGGCUGAAGGUACCGUAAGAAUAAGCACCGGCUAACUCCGUGCCAGCAGCCGCGGUAAUACGGAGGGUGCAAGCGUUAUCCGGAUUUAUUGGGUUUAAAGGGUCCGUAGGCGGAUCGUUAAGUCAGUGGUGAAAGCCUACCGCUCAACGGUAGAACUGCCAUUGAUACUGGCGAUCUUGAAUAUGUAUGAAGUUGGCGGAAUGUGUGGUGUAGCGGUGAAAUGCUUAGAUAUCACACAGAACACCGAUUGCGAAGGCAGCUGACUAAUACAUGAUUGACGCUGAGGGACGAAAGUGUGGGGAUCAAACAGGAUUAGAUACCCUAGUAGUC